rnacentral:rRNA from 1 species
GUGGGGAAUAUUGGACAAUGGGGGGAACCCUGAUCCAGCCAUGCCGCGUGUGUGAAGAAGGCCUUUUGGUUGUAAAGCACUUUAAGCGAGGAGGAGGCUACUCUAGUUAAUACCUAGGGAUAGUGGACGUUACUCGCAGAAUAAGCACCGGCUAACUCUGUGCCAGCAGCCGCGGUAAUACAGAGGGUGCGAGCGUUAAUCGGGUUUACUGGGCGUAAAGCGUGCGUAGGCGGCUUUUUAAGUCGGAUGUGAAAUCCCUGAGCUUAACUUAGGAAUUGCAUUCGAUACUGGGAAGCUAGAGUAUGGGAGAGGAUGGUAGAAUUCCAGGUGUAGCGGUGAAAUGCGUAGAGAUCUGGAGGAAUACCGAUGGCGAAGGCAGCCAUCUGGCCUAAUACUGACGCUGAGGUACGAAAGCAUGGGGAGCAAACAGGAUUAGAAACCCGAGUAGUCC